AGUGAACGCUGGCGGUAGGCCUAACACAUGCAAGUCGAACGGCAGCACAGGAGAGCUUGCUCUCUGGGUGGCGAGUGGCGGACGGGUGAGGAAUACAUCGGAAUCUACUCUGGCGUGGGGGAUAACGUAGGGAAACUUACGCUAAUACCGCAUACGACCUAAGGGUGAAAGCAGGGGACCUUCGGGCCUGUCGCGACUGAAUGAGCCGAUGUCGGAUUAGCUAGUUGGCGGGGUAAAGGCCCACCAAGGCGACGAUCCGGAGCUGGUCUGAGAGGAUGAUCAGCCACACUGGAACUGAGACACGGUCCAGACUCCUACGGGAGGCAGCAGUGGGGAAUAUUGGACAAUGGGCGCAAGCCUGAUCCAGCCAUACCGCGUGGGUGAAGAAGGCCUUCGGGUUGUAAAGCCCUUUUGUUGGGAAAGAAAUCCAGCUGGCUAAUACCCGGUUGGGAUGACGGUACCCAAAGAAUAAGCACCGGCUAACUUCGUGCCAGCCGCCGCGGUAA
rnacentral:rRNA from 1 species